UGCCCCGUCGUCUAAUGGUAGGACAGCAGCCUUUGGAGCUGUUUACUGUGGUUCGAAUCCAUGCGGGGCAA
rfam:Microgenomates (Shapirobacteria) bacterium GW2011_GWE1_38_10 TS68_C0006, whole genome shotgun sequence.